ensembl:misc_RNA Metazoa_SRP Metazoan signal recognition particle RNA
GCCAGGUGUGGUGGUGUGCACCUGUAGUUCCAUCAACUUGGGGGGCUGAGGCAGGAGGAUCACUAGAGCCCAGGAGGUUGAGGCUGCAGUGAGCCAAGAUCAUGCCACUGCACCCCAGCCUGGGCAACAGAGUGAGACCUUGUCUUAA